UAGUUUCAAACCGAAAGUAGUACAAUUACGCGGUGAGGUAAAUAAUGAACUUCACAUUCUGCAGCUGUAGUACGACGGGAAUCUCCGCAUUGUGGUAUAAAAGCGAAAGUAAUUUAUCAUAAAGAAUAUACGCAGAAAGUGAAAUGCAAAGUUGCUGCCAAGUUAGUAAGUUGUAAUUAUCCGUGAAUAAAUAAACAUGGGAGGUAGAGUAUCAAAUCUACCAGAACAGACUAUGCUGGAAAUGGUAGAAGAUUUGCAGAAACAGAUGAGUGACAUCGACCAUUCUGUAACUGGACUGGCGAAAUCUAUAGAUUCGAUGCAAGCUGUCAGCCAGAUGCUUCUUUUGCACCUAGAAAAGAAACAAGAGUCACAAAAUG